rnacentral:tRNA from 1 species
CACUAAGAAGCUUAUACAGCAUCAACCUUUUAAGUUGGAGAGGAAUCAUUGUUCCUUAGUGA